GACGAACGCUGGCGGCGUGCUUAACACAUGCAAGUCGAACGGAAAGGCCCUGCUUUUGUGGGGUGCUCGAGUGGCGAACGGGUGAGUAACACGUGAGUAACCUGCCCUUGACUUUGGGAUAACUUCAGGAAACUGGGGCUAAUACCGGAUAGGAGCUCCUGCUGCAUGGUGGGGGUUGGAAAGUUUCGGCGGUUGGGGAUGGACUCGCGGCUUAUCAGCUUGUUGGUGGGGUAGUGGCUUACCAAGGCUUUGACGGGUAGCCGGCCUGAGAGGGUGACCGGCCACAUUGGUCCUGAGAUACGGCCCAGACUCCUACGGGAGGCAGCAGUGGGGAAUAUUGCACAAUGGGCGGAAGCCUGAUGCAGCAACGCCGCGUGCGGGAUGACGGCCCUCGGGUUGUAAACCGCUUUCGCCUGUGACGAAGCGUGAGUGACGGUAAUGGGUAAAGAAGCACCGGCUAACUACGUG
rnacentral:rRNA from 1 species